UGUGGUUUGUAGAGUUUUAAAGGCAAGAUUAUGCUAAGGGGUAAACAUACCCCCACUGAGAAACUGGGAAAAUAUCUGGGUGCUGUUAAAAUUUGGGAAAGAACUUCAAAUUUUUCAGGAGUGGGUUUUCCUUGCAGAUACCACUUAAUGGCUUGUGGGUGGAAGGAAGGAAGGCUGGCACCCAGGCCCUUCUGGAGCACACAGCACAGGAGCAGAAGCAAGCCAUGCUGCCAACUGCAUGAAAAUGAGACUAGAAUGAAACCCAGAUGAUGUUCUGCCCUUCCAAGAGAAAAAGAAUGGCUUCAGAGACUCAAAUCGCUGUGUAGGUGGAAGGUUGUCCAGCAGGUCUGCACUUGCCAAGAUGCCUCCUGCACAGACAGGUGACGUUGUCCUCUGAAUCCCCGGAGGAGAGCUGAUGCUUCUGGGUUAACUUCAGAGCCAUAUCUGGAAAUGCCAUCCUCUUCCUGAUCCCUUAGGAAUACAUUAAUGGAUGUUUAUUCAGUUUCUUGUUUAAAUUAAGUCAUUCUUGCUACUUAUUUUAUUUUUAGUCCUUAACAUAAGCUAUUUCUGUUUUCUCACCAUUCUUUCAUUGAGUCCAAGAUCAGGUCAAGAGCCUCAGAGCUGAUGUGUCAUUUCGCUCAUGACAGCGCUCUGACAAGCGGACGCGGCAGUGUGUUUGUGGCAUCCAGAGAAGAGGAAAAAAGCACAUUUAAAGAAGAGCAUUCUGCCUGUGUUGGGGUUUGCAUUGCUUAUUUUAGAAGGAGGAGGGAUUUAAGGAGUGAGCUGGCAAUUCCAGUAUCAGCAGGAGCUGAUCCCAGCAGCAAAACAUAAUCACUGGGAACGGAGAAAAUCCAGGAGGUUUUGCUGGAACUGAGCAAGAGCUUGACAGCUGGCAAAUGUUCAUUAAGAUGCUUUACAACCAAGAUUAAUCCUACUGGAAACUUGACUUCAUCGAUGCACUCACUACGUAAGCUGCAUUUUCUUAGCAGGUGACAUUGUUGAUGGGCCAGCAGCUGUUUGAAAGCUGCCAGACCUUUCCUGCUUGGUGAGCGUUUCUCUUUGAGCUUGGGAAAUGUCCCCAGCGGGAGCUGUGACCUGCCACUGCCGUUACCCAUGGGAAUGCAACACCUGCAGACACCAGCCGUCUCCUUCCCACUCCUUCAUCUUGGAAAACCAGCUGCAGGUUGCUUAUCAUCAGUCUGAGCCCAAAAGCAGAGAUACUGAUUCCGAUCUGCAGCUGCAGCCGGGCUUAAAUCUUGAUCUGCAAACGAUGUUUCUAUAAAGAGCAGGAAAGUUGGACUGCAUGUUCUCUCUGUUUAAAUGAAAAUAUCUGUUCUUAACCCAAACCAUGGCCAGUGCACCAUACAAAAUGGAUGGCUCUGGACCCACCCUGCAGGACUCUUUUGGGGCAAGGAGAUGAGAUCUUUACCAACAGUACUCAGAACAAAGCCACUGACACAGCUUGGAAGGAGCCGAAAGCCAUCAGCAGCUUAGCAAUGAUUCCCCGAAAUGCUGUUAUUAUGUUAACAAGUUUUCUUUUAUCCUCUCAAGGUCUCAGGGAAUCUUUCUAUUGACCAUUAAGGCAAAGUAAGACAAAACAUGCUGAAAUUGAGAACUGAAUGCUUAUGGACAGAAAUCCUAUAAUGUUAUGAUUCAAUUUCACUUUGGGUAAAGAUGAUUGUUUCUGCAAUCCAGCUGCUUGGCUCAUUGAAACACAGGGGGAAAAAAACUCACAGGGAGGGAAGGCAGGGGAAAAAACACAAUAAAAACAAUAAAAUAUAGGGAGAAAACAAUAAAAACUGGGAGAACAUUCCAGUUCUAACUGGAAAAGACACAGGUGAGUCUUUAAAGGACUGAUGUGAAGUAGUGCAGCAAUGUUUUUCUCAUGGUCUGUAGCCAUUACUUUGAUGCAAAACAGGCACGGAAUGCAGCAGUUCAGUGUGCUUAAGGGUAGUGCCUCAGAUCCAUCAAACCACAUGGUGCAGCUCACAUCUAUAAUAUGCAUGAAAUCAUUUGCAGAAUUAAUUCUAGACGUUAUUUCACAGGGAAUUGGCUGUAUCCAGUAUAUUGAGACUAAUACUAAUUGUUCUGUUAUAUAGACUAUAGCCAUUACUACAUCUGGGGAAUCACUGCUGUUGCAUGGACUUCUUGCAGUGGUGUUUGAGCUGUGUAGGAUCUGGAUUUUCCUUUGAAACGUUGGAGGUCAGGAACAACUAGUCCCAGCUAAGAGCUAAUUGCCUGGAGCAUAAUUUCUCUACAGUGAGAGAGUAUAGAAGUAGCAUCUGAAAGUACAAAGAAAGUCACUGUGCUUUUUGCUCUAUCAGCAGACUUUAAUGAAAUUUUGAAGGGGGAAAAAUUGCUUCUUGGCUUAAAGCAUGAGCUAUGUUAUUAAUCUCUGCAAAGGAGUUUUAUAAUUGAAAUGCCGAUGGAACAGCAGCUCUACUGACUCAAAUGAUGACCUAACAGUAUCUAGCAUGGGCAUACAUAAGGCUGCAGAAUACCAUGUCAUGAUCACAAGAGUUACCAGUAACGCAGAUACAUUGAAAAAUAUGACUUAGCUGAUACCAGUUCCUUUGAAAUUGGUUUUUCUCCAUUCUUAUGGCACCUGGCAUCUGUAUGAUGUUGUAGGGGCUCAAUGAGACUUUCCCAAGAGGUCCCAUAUACUGAAGCUAUGAAGGUGGUGAAGGGUCUGGAGGGGGAAGGCGUAUGAGAAGUGGCUGAGGUUUGUUCAGCCCAGAGAAGAGGAGACUGAGGUGGUCCUAUAGGAGGCAGGAGUUGGAUUUGAUGAUCGUUAUGGGUCCUUCCAACUUGGGGUGUUCUAUGAUUCUGAUUCUACUGUGGGGGUUGUCUUUGGUGGUUUACUGGCAUGGGGUACACACACUGUCUGUUGGUAGUACAGCAUUGUCUAUGCUAUCAUUCUUAUCAAGAGUUGGAAAAAAAAAACUUUGUGUACUUGUACUGACAGGGUCUGUGGUCUCAAAACAGUAGUUGGCUAUUAGAAAACAAAACAGUGCUCUGCGCCGCUCCUUACCCUCAAUCUCCCAGUCAAACUGUGAAAUUGACAGGCAGUUUCUUGGCCAGGUUAGCCUACAGCCCCCUCGGCCAAGCCAGAAGCUCAACUUUUCCCAGCAUGUCCUGAUCUGCAUGUCUUAUUUGGGGUUUUUGCUCCAGUGUGAGCCGGUUUUGUUCUAGUUGUGCAGCCCUGAGGAAAUGGUGACCUCGCGGGGUGGGAGCACUCAGGGAGACCUGCUCAGAUCUGCCUCUGAAAUGCAGACAUCCAGUGGUAAUUCUUAUUCAGAUUUCUCUAGGUUCUCCUUUUCUUAAGGCUUCAAAAAGCUGCAAAGAAAGCAAGACGUAUAAAUUACUAGUCUCAGCCUGUGCCUUUCUGUGUGCGUUUUUUAUUAAUACACACCAACAUGCCUUCAUUAUCACCUUGUUUUGUACCUACCUGUCAGAUAUGUAAAGCAACUCUGAUAUCAGAAAAUCUCAUCUUCUGCUUCCCUUUGCUUGAAACUAGGUGAAUGUGCAAACGAGCUAAGAGGGAAAAAAAUAGACUGCAAGAAAUAGCUUUGGCUUUCUAAAUAACCAUUUCCUUCCCUAAAAUGGAAUGCAGAUGCUUAAGCGGACAAGAAAACGGCAGCACAGGAGAACCAGCCCUGCCCUGGUUCCCCCAUGGAGAUGAGCUCCAAUUGGGAGCCCCAAAAGCUCUUUCUUUAAUGAUGUCAAGGAGCACCAGCGCUAUGGGAUGCCCAUGGAGCUGCUGUCUCCCUGUCCUAACAGCUUGUGGAAAGUGAUGUGCUAGUUGUAUUGAUCGGUUUCAUAUCUGCACUUUGUAUUUAUGGCUCACACGGGUCCUUGUGCACCUUCUAAAUGUUACAUUAAAAUACAGAGUGGCACCAGCUUUAAGGGGCUGAGGCACAAAGCUCCUUUCCUGCUCUUGUCUCCUAUUGUGAAAAAUUUGCAAAACUCUCAGGGAGGCUCUUGAAUUACAGCUCUUCCCCUUCCCCAUGAUGCAUGCAGAAAAUAAAUGUAUUAUUAAUCUGCCCACUGUCAGAGAUCUCUGCUCUCUCUCUCCCUGUCUGUACACAGGGAGACAGAUUGACAGGAACAGCAGAUUGCAGAACGGUGUGGCGUGCACUCAGGCUGGUGGAUCACCAAACGCUCAGGAUGAUGAGAUGCUCAGUUUGAACCAGGGUUGCAAACCCUAGGGGCAAUUUGGUGAUUUGCUGCUGAGCUCCUCCUUGGUCCCAAGCACCGAGGGAUUUGGUCUCAGGCUGUCCACCCCCUUCUGCUCUGAGUGCUGGCACGCUCUGGGUUUCAUGGCACGCAGACACGGUUUGUUCCGCUCUGUGCUGUUUCUCCCUCCUAUAUGGGCCGCUUGCUUCAUCUGUGCACAGUUCCAGGGGGAAUGCUCUCACUCUUAGAUGAUAUUCAAAAGGAGUUGGUUUCACAUCACACAGCUCCUUGGUGGUUUGCUUUUUGCAGCUCCCCAAGCUGUGCUGCAGAGCGCUACAGCUUCCAGAAAGCCUUGAUUUAUCUGCAGGGAGACGGCCAGCACAUCUCUCCCUCCCACUCCCCCACAUCAGAAUAUUUUCAAUCAAAAACUUGGUUGGAAUAUCUGGGCACCAAGAACCACCAUGCCACUGCAGCGGAUACAGCCGCAUGCAUGAUGGGCAUCCAGGGAGCAUCAGCACCUCCCAUGCCUGCGGAGCAGAGAUCCUACUCCCCUCACC